GGAUGAACGCUGGCGGCGUGCCUAAUACAUGCAAGUAGAACGCUGAAGCUUGGUGCUUGCACCGAGCGGAUGAGUUGCGAACGGGUGAGUAACGCGUAGGUAACCUGCCUGGUAGCGGGGGAUAACUAUUGGAAACGAUAGCUAAUACCGCAUAACAGUAGAUAUUGCAUGAURUCURCUUGAAAGGKGCAAUUGCWYCACUACCAGAUGGACCUGCGUUGUAUUAGCUAGUUGGUGAGGUAACGGCUCACCAAGGCGACGAUACAUAGCCGACCUGAGAGGGUGAUCGGCCACACUGGGACUGAGACACGGCCCAGACUCCUACGGGAGGCAGCAGUAGGGAAUCUUCGGCAAUGGACGGAAGUCUGACCGAGCAACGCCGCGUGAGUGAAGAAGGUUUUCGGAUCGUAAAGCUCUGUUGUAAGAGAAGAACGAGUGUGAGAGUGGAAARUUCACACUGUGACGGUAUCUUACCAGAAAGGGACGGCUAACUAC
rnacentral:rRNA from 1 species